GACAGAGGGUGCAAGCGUUGUUCGGAAUUAUUGGGCGUAAAGGGCGCGUAGGUGGCCAAGUAAGUCAGAUGUGAAAGCCCAGGGCUUAACCCUGGAAGUGCAUCUGAUACUGCAUGGCUUGAGUCCCGGAGAGGGUCGUGGAAUUCCCAGUGUAGAGGUGAAAUUCGUAGAGAUUGGGAGGAACACCAGUGGCGAAGGCGGCGACCUGGACGGAGACUGACGCUGAGGCGCGAAAGCGUGGGGAGCAAACAGG
rnacentral:rRNA from 1 species